rnacentral:rRNA from 1 species
GAUGAACGCUGGCGGCGUGCCUAAUACAUGCAAGUCGAGCGAACGGACGAGAAGCUUGCUUUUCUGAUGUUAGCGGCGGACGGGUGAGUAACACGUGGAUAACCUACCUAUAAGACUGGGAUAACUUCGGGAAACCGGAGCUAAUACCGGAUAAUAUUUUGAACCGCAUGGUUCAAAAGUGAAAGACGGUCUUGCUGUCACUUAUAGAUGGAUCCGCGCUGCAUUAGCUAGUUGGUAAGGUAACGGCUUACCAAGGCAACGAUGCAUAGCCGACCUGAGAGGGUGAUCCGCCCCCCUGGAACUGGGACACGGUCCAGCCUCCUACGGGAGGCAGCAGUAGGGAAUCUUCCGCAAUGGGCGAAAGCCUGACGGAGCAACGCCGCGUGAGUGAUGAAGGUCUUCGGAUCGUAAAACUCUGUUAUUAGGGAAGAACAUAUGUGUAAGUAACUGUGCACAUCUUGACGGUACCUAAUCAGAAAGCCACGGCUAACUACGUG